AAUCAUAUGAUCAUGCUUAGGUAUAGAAUUGUUGAUCACCUAGAUUUUUGAAUUAUGCUAUAUGAUAGCAAUGUUUUAAUUUCAUAUAUUUGAUAUGAAUUAUAUUAUGCAAUUCAUAAAUGAAUUUUGCAGUCACAUGUCUUAAUAUGACUUUCUAAUAUUGAACCAUGUUGAUAUUCCUUGCUAUAAUUGCUUCGUGCUGUAAAUGUUCAUAAUAGAAUGUGCAUG
rnacentral:lncRNA from 1 species